rnacentral:tRNA from 1 species
UCAGAGGGUAGUUUAAUUUAGAAUUCUAGCUUUGGGAGCUAGUGGUGGGAGUUAAAAUCUCCUCCCUCUGAG